rnacentral:rRNA from 1 species
AGAGUUUGAUCAUGGCUCAGAGCGAACGCUGGCGGCGUGCUUAACACAUGCAAGUCGAGUGCGCGUCUGUAGCAAUACAGAUGGCGCACGGCGCACGGGUGCGUAACACGUGGGUAAUCUGCCCUUCGAAGGGGAAUAACUCGCCGAAAGGGACUAAUUCCGCAUAACAUUCCAAGAGCUUCGGUUUUUGGACUCAAAGGCGUAAGUCGUCGGAGGAGGAGCCCGCGCACGAUUAGCUAGUUGGUGAGGUAACGGCUCACCAAGGCUAUGAUCGUUAGCUGGUCUGAGAGGAUGGCCAGCCACACUGGAACUGAGACACGGUCCAGACUCCUACGGGAGGCAGCAGUGGGGAAUCUUGCACAAUGGGCGAAAGCCUGAUGCAGCGACGCCGCGUGGGGGAUGAAGCUUCUCGGAGUGUAAACCCCUUUCGACCCGGACGAAUGCCCCGCAAGGGGACUGACGGUACGGGUAUAAGAAGCCCCGGCUAACUACGUGCCAGCAGCCGCGGUAAGACGUAGGGGGCCAGCGUUGCUCGGAAUUACUGGGUGUAAAGGGUUCGUAGGCGGUGUGGCAAGUCGGGAGUGAAAUCUCUGGGCUCAACCCAGAGUCUGCUUCCGAAACUGCUGUGCUUGAGUGUGGGAGAGGCGCGUGGAAUUGCAGGUGUAGCGGUGAAAUGCGUAGAUAUCUGCAGGAACACCCGUGGCGAAAGCGGCGCGCUGGACCACUACUGACGCUGAGGAACGAAAGCUAGGGGAGCAAACAGGAUUAGAUACCCCGGUAGUCC